CCAGAGCCGCCCGCGCCCACGCGGCCGGCGGGCGCACUGACCUGAGAUGGUCUCCUGGUAGCCCUUGGUGAAGAACUGCAUGGCUGUGGCCGCUCUCCAGGGCGUCUUGAGCAGUCCCUGCCGCUGGGGGUCCUCGCCUAGCGAGCGCAGGAUAGACGAGUAGGCGGCCGCCAGGUUGGGGAGGUUCAGCUCAUUAUCUUCCUCGCUGCGGGGCCGGUCGCCCUUCCAACCGUCCGCCGGCUGGACUCUCUUGGUCUCCGGCCGCUGCGGCUUUUCGGCCGGCCCGCUCGGCCCGGGUCGCGGCGGCUCCCCCUCGGGGAACCCAUUACUGCACCUGGCACCCCGCGGCUUGGCCGGCGCCCGCACCGGGCCCUUCUCCAUGGACCUGACGCUGCCGCUCCGGAGGGACUCUGGGACACUUCGGGAACUAUACCACUAUUGUUUUCCUGCUGGUCAUCUUUGUAUCCUCGACAAACGUGCUAAGUCUCCACUUGUGUUCAGCCACCACAGAAGGGCAACUGAUCUACCACUUUGUAGAUUUGAAGUAAAAAGACCUGUUAUCCAUUAAAUAUCCCUUUCAUGGAAGAAGAGGAAAGAUAAACUCAUCUGACUGCUAAUUUGGUGGCUUUUGCCUACAGUGAAUAAGCUUCCUGGAAACUAUGUGGUUAAACCUAUUGAAGGAGAAAAUGUGAAAAAAUAAAUUGCAGUUUACUAAGAAGACAAAAUUAUUUCAAUUCUUUUUCAAAUAAAUCAUACAACUUUUCCUCUUAUUAAAGAAAGAGUUGAAAACAUAUCACACUGGAGAAACUUGGGCCCUCAGCAAUGAAUUUUGCUUUGUGUUGUUGGUUUCAUGGAGGAGACUUUGUUCACAAUUUGUUUUGAGCAUUUACUCAGGGGUUGACAAUGAUUUUACCAGGCAAUACUUCCUGGCUACUGGCCUUAUUUACCUUUGUGUAGUAUAGCACAUAUAGUCAGUACUAUAACAAAUCCUUGUUAAAUGAACUCAAAAAAAUUUUUGUUUUCAGGCAUGUUAAAUAAUUCUUAAGAGCUUUAAAAAGAAAAGGAAAGUUGAUGUUUAUAGAAAGCAAAUUAGACAGUAGCAAAUGAGUAAACUCUGUUACAUAUU